UAGGGAAUCUUCGGCAACGGGGGGAACCCUGACCGAGCAACGCCGCGUGAGUGAAGAAGGUUUUCGGAUCGUAAAGCUCUGUUGUUAAGGAAGAACGAGUGUGAGAAUGGAAAGUUCAUACUGUGACGGUACUUAACCAGAAAGGGACGGCUAACUACGUGCCAGCAGCCGCGGUAAUACGUAGGUCCCGAGCGUUGUCCGGAUUUAUUGGGCGUAAAGCGAGCGCAGGCGGUUAGAUAAGUCUGAAGUUAAAGGCAGUGGCUCAACCAUUGUAGGCUUUGGAAACUGUUUAACUUGAGUGCAGAAGGGGAGAGUGGAAUUCCAUGUGUAGCGGUGAAAUGCGUAGAUAUAUGGAGGAACACCGGUGGCGAAAGCGGCUCUCUGGUCUGUAACUGACGCUGAGGCUCGAAAGCGUGGGGAGCGAACAGG
rnacentral:rRNA from 1 species